rnacentral:rRNA from 1 species
AACGUAGGACGCGAGCGUUAUCCGGAGUUACUGGGCGUAAAGCGCGUGCAGGCGGUCUGACAAGUCUGAUGUGAAAUCUCCGGGCUCAACCGGGAGAGGCCAUUGGAAACUGACAGGCUGGAGGGCAGUAGAGGUAGGCGGAAUUCCGGGUGGAGUGGUGAAAUGCGUAGAGAUCCGGAGGAACACCAGAGGCGAAGGCGGCCUACUGGGCUGCACCUGACGCUGAGCCGCGAAAGCCAGGGGAGCGAACGGG